rnacentral:tRNA from 1 species
GGUAGCUCAGUGGUAGAGUGCUUGCCUUGCAUGCAUGAGGCUCUGGGUUCGAUUCCUUAAUACCA